rnacentral:rRNA from 1 species
UGCCAGCCGCCGCGGUAAUACGGAGGGGGUUAGCGUUGUUCGGAAUUACUGGGCGUAAAGCGUACGUAGGCGGAUUAAUAAGUUAGAGGUGAAAUCCCAGGGCUCAACCUCGGAACUGCAUUCGAUACUCCCGUGCUAGAGUAAUGGAGAGGUAAGUGGAAUUCCUGGUGUAGCAGUGAAAUGCGUGGAUAUCAGGAGGAACAUCAAUGGCGAAGGCAACUUACUGGAUCAUUACUGACACUGAGGAACGAAAGCAUGGGUAGCGAAGAGGAUUAGAUA